UUUUGAAGUGAAAAAGGGGGAGAGUUUUGUGACAAAAGCAAAGGAGAAAAGAAGGCAAAAGGCCUCAUUGACAGCUAGAGAUUCAUUUGGCUGAUUUCCAGUUCUGGUGGGCUGGUUGGUUUCCCAGAAAAUUAUUCAUUUUCUCGUGAAUCUGUAGAAGAUUUGUUGGGAGAUACGCGAAAAGGAAUACAAAGAAUGGAAAAAGGACAUGGAAAAUCCUGUGGGGUUGGUAUGAAUAUGUGAACAGAAACUUGUAUUAAUCGGUUCUUUGACUGCUUCACAGUGUUUGCUGGGGCUGAUUGGAGAAUGGUGGAGGAAGUCUAAGCUGGUGAGCAUGGUUUGGUCCCCACGUCUUGAAUGAAAUUCCACGGCCUAGGCCAGCUGAAGUUGGCUUUCUGCUCCAAAAGAGAAAGUACCAUACGUGAACUGGGGCAUACAAAAUCAUAAAAAGGGGCAGCACAAGCGUGUAAUGGGGGACAAGUCACUAGUUAUUUCAACAAGAAUAUGAUCUUCGUCUUCA